rnacentral:rRNA from 1 species
GACGAACGCUGGCGGCGUGCUUAACACAUGCAAGUCGAACGCUGAAGCUUGGUGCUUGCACUGGGUGGAUGAGUGGCGAACGGGUGAGUAAUACGUGAGUAACCUGCCCUUGACUCUGGGAUAAGCCUGGGAAACUGGGUCUAAUACUGGAUACGACAUGUCACCGCAUGGUGGUGUGUGGAAAGGGUUUUACUGGUUUUGGAUGGGCUCACGGCCUAUCAGCUUGUUGGUAGGGUAAUGGCUCACCAAGGCGACGACGGGUAGCCGGCCUGAGAGGGUGACCGGCCACACUGGGACUGAGACACGGCCCAGACUCCUACGGGGGGCAGCAGUGGGGAAUAUUGCACAAUGGGCGGAAGCCUGAUGCAGCGACGCCGCGUGAGGGAUGACGGCCUUCGGGUUGUAAACCUCUUUCAGCACGGAAGAAGCGAAAGUGACGGUACGUGCAGAAGAAGCGCCGGCUAACUACGUG